rnacentral:lncRNA from 1 species
AGACGUCACUAGGCGGUGCAUUUUCUUACUUUUAAAUAUAUUUUUAUACUAUUUCCCAUAUCAGAAAAAAAUUAUAAAAACACUGUGAAAUCAGCUCCUUCAGCACUUUCAGCUGAAGCAAUAAAAAAUUUGCAUGCAAAUUCUCCAUUAAUAUAAUUUGACUUUCAGGGAUUUUUUAAAGAAAAUAUCUCAUGAAUCUAUUCAAAUCAAAUUUGAUCAAAUUAUCGAUUGAUCAAUCGACAAUCAAAUUGUUCAAGGUAAAAAUGGAGAGACAUAUUUUCUUUGGAAUCGAUCCAACACACACUGAGGUCAGCACCGAAUAACAUUUAAGUCAUUGCCGAAUAACACUUAAGUCAUUGCCGACUAACACUUAAGUCAUUGCUGAAAAAGACUGUUGUCAGUGCAACAAACACUGAUAUCGGUCUUGAUCAGUGUCAACUCAGUGUUCAUAAGGACUAAUCUCAGAGCAACCACUGAUCAGACUAUGAUCAGUCUUCAUGAGCACUGAGCUGACACAGGUCUAGUUUUUCACUGACCCCAGUCUUUUCCGGCACUGACUUAAGUGUUAUUCGGUGCUGACCUCAGUGUCAGAUCUGUUCCAAAGUAGCGUGCCACUGCCAUUUUUACAAAAUUGCAGAUUCAUCUUUGACGGCGAGAGUAAAGGCAACACCUGAUACCGGCAGGUUCUCCUCUCUCGUCGGUUGGCGCGGGGCCAUCUGGCAGCCCCGCAACGGUGCGCGAUAGUACCCUCACCAGUCACCAGAAAAUCCAAUCAGCCGGAGUGUUCCAUCAUCGGCGCCUCAUAGACGAAUCUGGUGCCCCCACAACCAUGCGUCCUUUCCACAUUUUCUUCUUGGCUUGCGUGUGCUACGAAGCCGCAUCCACAAAUGCUGCAACACACUUGUCCAAGGAGACGUCAGGAAUGGGAGCGACCGAACCAAGAAGCUUCUUCCACAAUUUCCAUAUCAACUACCCUUAUCUAUGGAACACUUGGAGUCUGUUGCCAAACCGACCAAGAGGCCAGAGUGAAGAUCUCUCGAGCAGUCAGACCAACGUCAACAAUCUCGGCGCAGCCAGUAACGGACACUUGGGAAUCGGGCUAACCAUAGAUUACGGUAAACGCACAGAGGCCGGUCUAAGCCAAGCCGCCACGGACACGACCCAAGGAACAAUCAACGACUCAGACGCUCCCAUCUCCGUGACAGAAACAGGCGCGGGCGCGGGCUUAGAAGCGCCUUCAAAAACCAGAGCUACCACCACCGAGACACCAAACAACCUCAACAAAGAUUCAACUAACCCGCCGCCCAUCAUCAUCCUCGACGCUGCCACAUUUCUGGCGCUGAACCGCGAUCAGCUCCAAGCCCCUCAACCAACAGUGAACCUUCAUCAAACCGGCGUCGCCGCCAGCGAGAAAAUCGAACGCACCGAAUACCCGGAUCCACAAGUGUUGUCGCUUCCGAGUUCACCAUUUGUCUCCGAGUCGCGAGUCAAUUUCUCGUCGGGGAACCUCGUUUUCCAGGUUGAGACCAAGAACUACUCCUCCGAUCUAGGCCUGAGGACCGAAUCGAUUGCUAAACAUCCCGAGAGCACGGCUAAUUUCGACAUCAUCGCAGCGUCCUCCAACGUGGCGGCGAACUAUACCCCCUCGGAGAAUACCUCAAACAUAAACACGGUAAGCGACGUCUCGGUCUCGGAGAAUGACGUCACGGUGUCUUCAUCAACCACCAUAACCCCCGCGCUUAAAGAUGACGUCGCCAAGGAGUCAGAGACCACCAGCAAAAACGAGACCGGAGUGGAGAAAGAUCUUUCAGCUGGACCCGAAGAAGGAAAGAUGAAGAAGCCGUCUGUAUUGCCUACAUCAUCAACUAUAUCCCUGAUACCGACGAAGACGACGACCAAGACCUCGGAGCCACCGCUUCUGAUCCGGGCUCACUACUAUCCGGUCUCCGGGAACUUCUGGUACCCGCACAACGGACCGUACCACUCCUACACGACGGAGUACGCGCCGCCACCGCAAGCGUACCAGGAGCCGCAGGUGUACCAGAGCCCGCAGGUCUUCUUCACGAACGGCUACUCGGCGACGUCGCAGUACGACCGACCGGCGGAGCUCUACGGGAGGCCGCAGAAGCCGAUCUUCACGCCGGCCGCGGCAGCGCCGGCGGACGGCUACGGCGAGGCCUCCUUCUACAACUACAAGCCGGCGACGAAGCCGGUGUACCUGACCAAGGGCACGACCCCGUACCGGGGGGUGACCAUUUACCUGGAGUCGGAGCCGGAACCGACGACCCCGGUCCCGUCGACCGUGUUCUCGGCCAGCGAGGUGACGACCGAGAGGCCGAGCAUCAACUCCUGGUUCCGACCCCCGCAGUUCAUCAGCAAUAUCAUCAGCGUCCUCCACAAGGAUAACGUCGGGAAACCCAGGGAUAAGCCCAAGCCCACGCCUACGCCCAAGCCUCCCAGUCGAGCACUUCAUUGAACGAUUUUCAGACUAAAUAGACCUAGGGUACCUAUCGGUAGGCCCUGUCCACACGAGCGCAGUUCGCGGAACUUAUUCCUUGAAACGAGGCAUGCUGUCCACACGAGUUCACCCGAACUGAAAUCGGAACUUCAAUAAAACUAUACAAUUAUUGCAAAAUAAUAGAUCAUUUCGACCGCCAAAGUAACAAAAAUAAAAAUGUCAAGAUAUGUAAAGGACGUAAAAAACAAAAACAAGCAAAUUCACAUCAAAAGAAACAUAUAUUUAGAAGCUCGGAGUACGGGAAAAAUUUCGGGUUUUGGAGGAAUAAGUUUCAGCUCAGCUAAAAACUUGUUCCGGGAACCGAGCUCGUGUGGACAAGGCCGUAUAGCUUGACAGUUCAAGCUAAGGAAGAACGCCGCAUAGCCAUCGUCGGGCCGAUUAUUGGAAUUGAUAGACAAAGAAUCAAUAGGACGUAUUUCUAUCAAACGGACCUAAGCGCCAUAGGGUGAGGAAGGUAGAGGGGGGCUUGGAUUGGCGGCGGAAUCGGGCGUCCGGCUAAUUCCGUCCUAUACUCGCAAUGGCAUGGCGCUUAGGUCCGUUUGACAGAACGCGCUAUUCGGCAUUCUAAAUUCCUCAAAAGGAACUCAAAUUGGCGCUUAGUAUCGUUUGGUAGAAAUACGUCCAAUAGAUCAUGACAGAAUGAAUGGAUUUUGUUUAUCAGAAUUUGGUCCAUUUUGUCUCCCGCUCUCUAUCUCUAUUUCUGUAUACGACGCCGAUUUCACUCCAAAUUUUCCACAUGUUAAAAACGGAUUCAUGACUUCUUAAGAUACAGAUAUAUUUCAGUUAGGUAACAUAUUUUCAGAAAACUCAAAAUGUAAACCGAGAAGUUGACAGUUGCAUAUUGUGUUAUUUCAAGAGGAGUGAUAAAAGAGAAUUUUCUCCUAUUUCUCACAUGUCAAUUUUAUAAUUUUUUAUUGAACACUACAAUGAUAGUAGUACCUAUCGACCACGUUUAAUUGUUAUGACUUAGGAAAUACCGUGUUCUGCGCACAAAAAUAGCAAGUCUGGACACGAAUUCACUCAGGCCUAUUAUCUACUCAGGAGAUAAUCGACAAUCUAAGUCACUAUCAACUAUAAUAAGUUAUGUACAAUUUUCAACAUAUGUCUGUUAAUAUGUUUGUAGGUAAGCACAAAUAAAUUUUUUAACGUUCUUAAUAAAAAGUCGUCUUAUUAUUACUUGAUACAUAUUGGUAAGUAUGUUUGAAUGAUUUCUGACAAAUAUCGGAUUAAUUUCGGACUAGUUUACGACUCGUUCAAGAAUAUUCACGGUAAAUUUCAAAAGAAUGCUUUGAUCACUUGAUUUAAAAACAAAUGAAACAUAAACGGAAAUUUUUAAAUAUUGCAAUGGAAAUAUGCAUUUUUCGACUUUGACUAUCAAUACAUUAAAAAUUCAAAUAAUCGAUUCCUUAUGAACUGACCAAAUAUUCUCGACGUCAUCGAAGAACUGAUGAGUUCGGUUCGAUGCUCUCAAAAAUUCUCAAAAACUGAGUCCAGUGCUUGAUUAGUGAACUGUUAAUGAGAAAUUAAUCACUACUCUAUCGUCCAUCGUCUUCGCCUGUCGGCAAGCCAACUUUGUUACGACCCCCGAUUCGUGAGUCCACGUCCUAGACACAGGUAAGUUUUUUUCUCUAUUCCUGUAGAUUGUAACUCUUUAAAAAAGUGAAUAUUCAUUUUUCUUGCAUAUUUCCUCGCAGCUGUGUUCAUCAAGAUGAUCAUCAUAUUUUUAAAAAUGUCUUAAGAUGUAGGCUCACGCAAAAAUAACUCGCAUUUAACUGUAAUAUUGUGAGUAUUGCUUGAAAGAAAUUAAAAUUUUUAAUUGUUAGGUAAUAAUCAAGGUUGAAAACGUUAAAAUUCAUACAGUACGUAACUUCCAAAAAUGAGAAAUAUUGGGGAAUAUUGGGAAAUAAUUGAUCACAGAUUUACAAUGAAUCCACAUAUAAAGAUUUUUUCAGGCCGGAUUCACACGUAAAUUUUAAAUACAUUAAACUUUUAUUCGAAGAGGUCCUCCAUACAAUUUUCAGCAGGGAAUCUCUGAAAAAAUCCCAGAGUAUGUCAGAGCAUACUUCUCGGAAAAUUCUUGCAAAACAAACUUUAAAUAUCUUAUAGGCACUGUGGGGGGAGGGGGGGGGGAUCACACGGAUGAGAUGCCGUCCUCCCCCCCCCUGCUAAGCCCCG